CAUCAAGUAUAACUACAUACUGAGUCCAAUGAUGGAGGGAUUUCAUUAACUACCACUAAUAGGAUUGAUGUCACUCCAAUACAACAAUGUUGCCAUGAUCAUGCUACUGCUACUGUUCAACAAGGCAUGAAAAGUCGAGGGAAAGC